GAUGAACGCUAGCGGCAGGCCUAACACAUGCAAGUCGAGGGGUAGAGGAAGCUUGCUUCCUUGAGACCGGCGCACGGGUGCGUAACGCGUAUGCAAUCUACCUUUUACAGAGGGAUAGCCCAGAGAAAUUUGGAUUAAUACCUCAUAGUAUCUUUGCCUGGCAUCGGGUGAUUAUUAAAGUUCCAACGGUAAAAGAUGAGCAUGCGUCCUAUUAGCUAGAUGGUAAGGUAACGGCUUACCAUGGCAGCGAUAGGUAGGGGUCCUGAGAGGGAGAUCCCCCACACUGGUACUGAGACACGGGCCAGACUCCUACGGGAGGCAGCAGUGAGGAAUAUUGGACAAUGGGCGCAAGCCUGAUCCAGCCAUGCCGCGUGCAGGAAGACGGUCCUAUGGAUUGUAAACUGCUUUUGUACGGGAAGAAACACUCCUACGUGUAGGAGCUUGACGGUACCGUAAGAAUAAGGAUCGGCUAACUCCGUGCCAGCCGCCGCUGUAACAC
rnacentral:rRNA from 1 species